AUUGAACGCUGGCGGAAUGCUUUACACAUGCAAGUCGAACGGUAGAGGGGGCAACCCCUCGAGAGUGGCGAACGGGUGAGUAAUAUAUCGGAACGUGCCCAGUCGUGGGGGAUAACGUAGCGAAAGUUACGCUAAUACCGCAUACGAUCUAAGGAUGAAAGCGGGGGAUCGCAAGACCUCGCGCGAUUGGAGCGGCCGAUAUCAGAUUAGGUAGGUGGUGGGGUAAAGGCUCACCAAGCCAACGAUCUGUAGCUGGUCUGAGAGGACGACCAGCCACACUGGAAGUGAGACACGGUCCAGACUCCUACGGGAGGCAGCAGUGGGGAAUUUUGGACAAUGGGCGCAAGCCUGAUCCAGCCAUUCCGCGUGCAGUAUGAAGGCCCUCGGGUUGUAAACUGCUUUUGUACGGAACGAAAAGGUCUCUCUUAAUACGGGGGGCUCAUGACGGUACCGUAAGAAUAAGCACCGGCUAACUACGUGCCAGCCGCCGCGGUAA
rnacentral:rRNA from 1 species